rnacentral:rRNA from 1 species
UACGUAGGGUGCAAGCGUUGUCCGGAAUUAUUGGGCGUAAAGAGCUCGUAGGCGGUUCGUCGCGUCGGCUGUGAAAACCCGGAGCUCAACUCCGGGCCUGCAGUCGAUACGGGCGGACUGGAGUUCGGCAGGGGAGACUGGAAUUCCUGGUGUAGCGGUGGAAUGCGCAGAUAUCAGGAGGAACACCGGUGGCGAAGGCGGGUCUCUGGGCAGUAACUGACGCUGAGGAGCGAAAGCGUGGGGAGCGAACAGG